AUAAAAACGUAUUUUCUUGUCCCAGCCACUUAAAAAAAAAUGUGUUUGAUCUUUGCAAGUAAUUUUUUGUGCAGUCAGUACAUUGAAUUGGAUUUAACAUUUUUAAGCAAAGAAACAGUUUAUUUUUAGAGGGAUUGAUAAGAUAUUGACUCCUGAAUGGUCCAAAACAACCAAAAUGGCAUGUCCCUAGACCGCCUGUUCAACAUUCAUACUCUAAAAUAUCGUAAAAAAAUGAAGAAAUAAAUGUUUUUUUUACUUUACAUAAGUUCUUUAAUAAUUCAAAAGUAUGUUCAGAGCCAACAUAUUUUAAUAAACAGCUUUCAAUAUAGGUUUUUUAAUUUCAGAAGGUGUGUCCCUCACAAAAUGUCCACUACGAAACGAAGUCAUUAAAAUUUGCCAAUAAACAGUUUUAUAAAAUCAAUGUAAUUUUUGUUUGCAAGAGAUAUAAACAUUAGGGUCUUACAAAAGAAGUGAUGCUUUUAUAACGGCAAUUAAAUUGUUGGUAAGAAAAAUUGAGCACAUCAAAUGGACCAGAGUGAUACCGUAUUUUUGAUAAUGUCCACUACGAAACGGGUCAAAUCUCCUUCAGUAUCUGGUUUUAAAAUUAUGAAAAAAAUAUCAGUGUACAGCUUGAUAAAUGCUUUGAUGAAUACAAUCAGUCUUGUUACUAUUGCAAUAUAGGGAUUGUGGGAAAAAAAUAAAACAUGCGAAUACGUCCCUUACGAAACGGUCCCCUACGAAACAAGUAUGGGAGAAAAACGUUUCGUAGUGGACACUACCACUACCAUGCAGUCUUUUUUUAAAUCUUUUUUCAAUUAUAUUCGUGCAAAACAAAUAACAAGGGUUAGUUUCAUGUAAUUUUUAUUAUGUUUUUAUUAACAUAUAAUAGGGUUGAUGUCAACUACGAAACUUUUUGUCCACUACGAAACGGUUUUUUGUCCACUACGAAACGCAUCAAAAUGUCCACUACGUAACAUGAGUUGAACCUUCAUAUGUGAAGUACUGUCUAAUCUUUAUCGAUAAAAAUGGUUUUUCUAAUUCAGAAAAAAAAAUGAUAUUUUUCUAGUAUUUAAAGUAAACAAACUGGAAUGUCUAUAGGAAACAUUUAAAAUUGCAAAAAAUAUGUGUGUUUAGAAGAAGUUUCGUAGGGGACAAAAGUCCCCUACGAAACAGUACACAAAUUAUGAAAAUAAUAUCAUUUUAAAGAAUAUUUAAGAUUGCACUUUUUGUUUACAAACAGGUCUAUUAUAGAGGUAUUCAAAAUAACUCUUGAAAUUAAAUUUUAGACAAGUUGAUUUUCCAUUUUUUUAGGUCUGAAAAUAACGCUUUUAUUGAAAAACGCCC
rnacentral:lncRNA from 1 species